rnacentral:rRNA from 1 species
AACGAACGCUGGCGGCAUGCCUAACACAUGCAAGUCGAACGAUGCCUUCGGGCAUAGUGGCGCACGGGUGCGUAACGCGUGGGAAUCUGCCUUUCGGUUCGGAAUAACUCAGGGAAACUUGAGCUAAUACCGGAUAACGUCUCAAGACCAAAGAUUUAUCACCGAAAGAUGAGCCCGCGUAGGAUUAGCUAUUUGGUGAGGUAAAGGCUCACCAAGGCGACGAUCCUUAGCUGGUCUGAGAGGAUGAUCAGCCACACUGGGACUGAGACACGGCCCAGACUCCUACGGGAAGCAGCAGUGGGGAAUAUUGGACAAUGGGCGAAAGGCUGAUCCAGCAAUGCCGCGUGAGUGAUGAAGGCCUUAGGGUUGUAAAGCUCUUUUACCCGGGAAGAUAAUGACGGUACCGGGAGAAUAAGCCCCGGCUAACUCCGUG